CUAGCUGUAAACGAUGGAUACUAGGCGUUGAGAGUAUCGACCCUCUCAGUGUCGUAGCUAACGCGUUAAGUAUCCCGCCUGGGGAGUACGCGCGCAAGCGUGAAACUCAAAGGAAUUGACGGGGGCCCGCACAAGCGGUGGAGUAUGUGGUUCAAUUCGAUGCAACGCGAAGAACCUUACCAGGGCUUGACAUGUCCGGAACCCUGCCCAAAGGCGGGGGUGCCUACGGGAACCGGAACACAGGUGGUGC
rnacentral:rRNA from 1 species